rnacentral:rRNA from 1 species
CAAACUCCUACGGGAGGCAGCAGUGAGGAAUAUUGGUCAAUGGACGAGAGUCUGAACCAGCCAAGUAGCGUGCAGGACGACGGCCCUAUGGGUUGUAAAACUGCUUUUAUAAGGGAAUAAAGUGAGAGUCGUGACUCUUUUUGCAUGUACCUUAUGAAUAAGGACCGGCUAAUUCCGUGC